rnacentral:rRNA from 1 species
AUUGAACGCUGGCGGCAUGCUUUACACAUGCAAGUCGAACGGUAACAGGUUAAGCUGACGAGUGGCGAACGGGUGAGUAAUGCAUCGGAACGUGCCCGAUCGUGGGGGAUAACGCAGCGAAAGCUGCGCUAAUACCGCAUACGAUCUGAGGAUGAAAGCGGGGGACCGUAAGGCCUCGCGCGAUCGGAGCGGCCGAUGUCAGAUUAGGUAGUUGGUGGGGUAAAGGCUCACCAAGCCAACGAUCUGUAGCUGGUCUGAGAGGACGACCAGCCAUACUGGGACUGGAACACGGCCCAGACUCCUACGGGAGGCAGCAGUGGGGAAUUUUGGACAAUGGGCGAAAGCCUGAUCCAGCAAUGCCGCGUGCAGGAAGAAGGCCUUCGGGUUGUAAACUGCUUUUGUACGGAGCGAAAAGGCCCUCUCUAAUACAGUGGGCUCAUGACGGUACCGUAAGAAUAAGCACCGGCUAACUACGUGCCAGCCGCCGCCGUAA